UUAAGUUGGCAUUUGGAUAGUGAUUGCAUGUGGGGCUGAAAUGAGAAGUCAGAAUCAAGGAUUACACCAAGCACCCUUGCCUGAUGGGAGGAAGCAGUUG